rnacentral:rRNA from 1 species
CGCCUACGGGGGGCAGCAGUGAGGAAUAUUGGUCAAUGGCCGCAGGGCUGAACCAGCCAAGUCGCGUGAGGGAUGACGGUCCUAUGGAUUGUAAACCUCUUUUGUCAGGGAGCAAAGGGCGCCACGUGUGGCGUUUUGCGAGUACCUGAAGAAAAAGCAUCGGCUAACUCCGUGCCAGCAGCCGCGGUAAUACGGAGGAUGCGAGCGUUAUCCGGAUUUAUUGGGUUUAAAGGGUGCGCAGGCGGACUGUCAAGUCAGCGGUACAAUUUCGGGGCGCAACCCCGUCGUGCCGU